UCCGCCCCUAAAAAAAAAUGUUUAAAAAAAAUAAAAAAAACUUGCUAACCCUACAGUUCGAAUGCAACUUUUCCUAAAACAAAACCCUAAAUCAAUUUCGAUUGCCGUCAAAAACAAACCUUAGCACAGUUUCUCCCUAAAUUUCCUUUCAAUUUUGAAUACCAUAGCCACCACAUUCUCCGAUCACACCUGGACCAGGUCGCCGCCGUCCACUAUCCCAAACGGGUUUCACUUCAAAUAUUCCUCUUUUACCACCAUCGCCAAUCUCAGCCGCCGUCCACCGACAAACGUAGCUGUUCCUUGUCAGCUGAGUUCGACGAGUGCGUGCCGAGCCGCACCAGGUCGCCGACCGUCUGAUUUUCUAAAAUGGAAUGCUUAUUUUUUAAUCAAUGGCCUAUCAAUGAUAUUGAAUAGAUUUUUUUGUCAUUGAAAAGGAUGGUUCUUUGGCCGAGCUUGUCCGCAAGCGAUAUCAGAACUUUGACGCCGAAGUUGGGGCUAAAAUUGAGGCAACAUGUUUCCCAAUAUCUUACCUGUUUUGCUUUGUUUCAAUUGCUUCUUUGGCUAAUACAAAGUGGUGCCAUCUUAUAACAGGCUGGUAAGGCUGAUUUUGAAUAUCUUGAGAAGAAAGCCAUGGAAUGGGGAGAACCCAAGGUUCCUUGUUUAAAUAGCAGCAGAACAUCCAUUAACAGACAACCUGCUGUUAAUGUCUACCGACCACAAAAUAAGAGUAUAAAGAACAUCCAUCCAUUAACAUAUUAAAGACCGGAGUAUUCAGAGUAUAUGCAUUAUUUGGUGAUAAUCCUUUGAGUUUAUGGUACCUUAAUGGAAUCUCAUCUCAUCUGGUGUUGUGGCCGUUACAUGUGUAUCACAAGAAGCACACUAUGAACCAGAUUGUUCUUGGUCUCUUCACUGUGUCAAUAAGCCUACCUGUUGCUGUGACCUGCGCUAAUACCCAGGGAACAACAGGAGUUGAAUGUUUGUUUUUCUGGCGGGGGAGGACAGGAUCACAGGAAGAACUGCAGAUUGUAUUUGAACUGGAUUGGUGAUGGUAUACAGGAUUAACAAGCUUAUUGAUUUGUUUGGAGUUUGUUUGGAAUGGAUGGCAACAUGUUGCUUUGUCUUUGAAGACCUUCAGCGAGAAAUUGAUGGGAUUGAGAUAAGUUAUACAUAGCUGAUUAGAUUUGAUGUCCAGCUUGGCAACAACCUU